UGCAAAAUCCCAAUUUUAAAAAUCCUUCAAAUCCCAAUAUUUGAAAAUUUCCUAUGAUCGUAUGAACCCUGAAAUAUCCUGUGGGUUCCCGCUACUGCGAUCUUUACCACAGUCUGCUCUGCUGCGACCUCUCACCUUUGACCCCUGAGCCUGACUAUUCAUCCAGGAAAGCGAGGAGGGGUUGAUGGAGGGGGAAGGAAGGAGAGGGCUGAAGAAGAUGCAACACUGACCCAGAAAAAUCAUGACCAACACCUCCAUUAAAAAGACAAGCUGUUACAGCAGUCAGCCACAACACAUCCAACUCACAAACACACACCAACAUCAGGCUUCAAUAUUUCACCAGAAAAACACACAUAUGCAUUCAAAAACAGAUGAAGAGAAAGAGCACACAGACAGAGGCUGUGGUGAGCAAAGUCAGUUUUAUUAGAAGUUAUGAAAGACACAAGAUGCAGCAACACACCAGAGAACAUGUUAGUAGGAGAAAGAAAACAAGAGCAUCAAAUUCUACAGACAUGCUUCUAUUCGUCCUAUCUCAUCCCUCUCAUCUACCUCUCUAGUGUUCUACUAUAUACAGUGGUCACAAUAAUGGUCAAUAUGAAAUGUUUGAAAAAGUGUGUGGAAAGCAAGACUUUGUCUAUACAGAAGCUGAACAACACAACCAUGCCAACUUCAAUACAAGAGAAGCUCUGUUCACAGCAUUUGUGGCAUAAUGGUGAUUUGCACCGCAUAUCAUUUUAGUCUCAUCCCUCAGUUCAUUUUAUGUUUUAUGUGUUAUUUCACAUAACAUUUUUAUAUAUAGUCCACAAGACAAAAUAGUCAUUUUCAUAAAUUAAGCUAUAUUCUGCUAUUAUUCUAUUGUUUUGUCUUCAGACUUGUGGCGAUACUAUUGAAACCUUAUAUAUAUUAUAUAUAAAUAUAUAUAAUAUAAUAUAAUUUAAUCAUAAUUGACAUUAUGCCAAAAAUGCUGUUGAGUUUAAUUUGUAUUGAACCCAGAACAUUGCUUUUAUUUAGGAUGUACAGUAUGUUAAGCACAGACAUUAGAGUAGGCGUUGUUUUAAUUAUCUUUAAUAUCUACUCUGGCUAAGGUUUAUUCUUAAGUUCUGUCUUCCAUUAAAGAUUCAUCUCAUGUCGUUCCAAAUGUGCGUGUAUUUUCUCGUUACACAGCUCUUUUAUACAGACUUGGAAUAUAAUGCAAGACGUGGACUAUUUUUUAUGGUAGCUUGACAGAUAUAGUCAAUAUCAAGAAAAAAAUCCAUUUGUGUUCAGUGGAGAAAAAGCGAAUAGGUUUGGAACAACAUGAGGGUGAGCAAAUAAUAACAGAAUUUUCAUUCUUGGAUGAACUAUUGCUUAAACACCAAAGCAGCGGAAUUAAGACAAUAUAGCUGAGAUGAAAAUUCCAGUCAGUGUUAAGAGAUGGGAAGGAAAAUAGAGGAUAGAGAGAGAGCUUUAUACAGCAGGAGCUCUACUGGAAGUUAAUUAGAGACACAAAGACAUAGUGGCAGCUUACAUCCCAGAUGAACAGACAAACAGUUAAAGAGACUGACAGACAAGAAGAGAUCUCUCUAUUGACAUACUACAGACUGACAGAUUAUUAUAGUGCUGCGAGAUAGAAGAGAGACUUAGUUCAGCUUUGACAAGAAGGAAAGGCCAAGGAUCUUGGCCGGUUGGGCAUGCUUUAGCCCACUUAUUGCCCACAGGAGGAGGAGGAGGAGGAGGAGGAGAAGGAAAGGUGCCGUUCGGAGACGAAAAACAGAGGGGGGUGAGGAGGGCGUCCAUCAUGCAGAAGGUAAGUUCAACAACCACAAGGCAUCUGGAGUUACACCUGCCAACCACACGAGAAAGAGAGAGAGAGAGAGAGCAAUGCAAGAGGCGGCAGAGUAAGUACACACAGAGGAGAGAGAGGUUAUAGAGAAAGAGGAACAGAGACAAAAUGUUAUAAUAUUAGGGAGGCUGAAAUUGAAAGUACAGAAAAUGAAAGAGAGG